GUUCUUCUCAUGAUGCUAUUCAGCCGACGUGCAACUACCGAGGAGGGGAAGAUGAGCAAGAGCCCUGGAUGUUUACUCCUUGUGCUGAAUCUUCGAACCAAAAUGGGUUGGAGUGCUGCGAGCGCGGACAACUUUGGUCCUGUGCAUUGAGAUUUAUAUCCCCAGCUUGCAAGUCGGUGCCUGGAUGAAUUUAUCAAGGGUUGGCAGUGUUUCAAGAGGCCGUUUGUUGCUAGCAUUGUGAAGAACGUUUAUCCCAUUUCUUUGACUGUACGUAUACAAUAGGUUCCAGACACAAAGUUGGAAUGCAAGCCAUGUUGGCUCAGUAUCAUAUGGUGAAGUUCUAGAUUUUGGUCAAAUUGCUUCUUUGUUGGUGAGAUUUGAACUCUGUACUCAACAAUCUAUGUAUAUGAGCCACGGACUUGACUCAUUGGUGUGUUUUAUUAUAAAAAAUGCACUUAUGGCUUAGAGUCACUAGUUUAGUGAGUUAGUGUAGGAGUUUUGAUAGAAAAAUAAAUAAAUAAAUAAAUAUAACAGAAUGUUAGUUGCAAGAAUGGAUAUCUUGUAGAGUUGUCCUUGAGAAGGGAUUUUAAAUUACAUAUCUUUUUUUAGAUUAGCCAAUAGAAAUUUAUGAUUUUUUAGUAGUAGUCUUAUCUCUAUUAAAUAUUUAAUUGGUCUAUAAUUUAAGUAGAAUUCUUGAUCCAAAACUAAACAAAAAGAAAAACACAUUGAUAGCUAUAGAUAAAUAAAAUGGAAUGGAAAUAAUAGAAGAGAAAAAGAUUAAGAAUAGGGAGAGAAACGAAAAGCAAUAAAGAAUAGUGGAGGAAAAUGAAAUCAAAAGAAGGAGAAGAAGAGAAAGAAGAGAAGAAAGAAAAGGAGAAGAGAGAGAGAAAAAAAAAAUGUAAUGAAAAGUGCAAGAGGUUGCCCAAGAUUAGUGGCAGCCUCUUUGUUGAUAGGAAUCUAGUCGCCUAGAUCCUUGCCUCUCUUGUUUUAAUUGGUUUUUUUGAAUUUGAAUUUGAAUUUGAUGAAUGCCCUAGAUUCCAUCUCUACGUUUUCUUAGUUGUGUUGUAUACAUGAGUAUGUAGUUACAAUAUUUCUUUUGUUCUAUUGAGUGGUUUCCAAUGGAAGUGUAUUUGUUAUUAGAUAUUCAUGAUGAUAAUCCAAUUAGUUUUUUUUCCUUGUUCAAUAAGUGGUCGGUGUAUGGCAGAAGUUCAAAGUAGUGCAGUUGGCUUCUGAGCUCUAAAUUCAAGUGGCAAUGUUUUGUAGAAUUCAAGGUUAUUGUAUUUUUUUCUUCUCUUGCAAUGCAGAGAAGAGAGUUGUGGAUCAAGUGGCAUUGUCAAUGUAGCGAUUUGGUUAAAUGUCAUCAUUGAUUCUAGGUCUGCAAUUAUGUUUGAAAAGCCAUUUUGGUUCUUCUUGUUUUUUUAAUUAUUCUAUUUUCUAAGAUUGGUUGCUGGUUCAAAGUAGUUGUGUUGUAUCAAGGACUAGAGUCAUAUGGAGGUGGAUAUGUGUAGAGCUUCGAAUCUAAAAGAGCAUCAGCGGUGGCAGUAGAUUUGUUUGAUCUGCACAUUGCGAGGCCAAAUCCUAAACUUCCCUAAGCUUAUUAUAUAGAGCAUCUAUUGGGCAUAUGAGGCCUCAUGAAUUCUAGAGUGGCAACAUUGUGGUGGCUUUUACUUCUAUGUUCUGCUAUGUCUUAUUUUUAUUUUUUGUGUUACAAUUGGAUUUGUAUUUUGUUUUUUGUUUUUUGUUUCUUUUCUUUUCUUUUGAAAUACAACAAGAGUUGGUUUUUCUUUUGAUUGUUGUGGUGGCUGUAUGUUUGCAUUUGGCAUUGAUUGCAAGUAGAAUCACAUCAAGUCUAAUUGCAUGCUUUAGUUUGUAUGUUGGCAAUUGAAUAUGGAAAUAUUGGAGGUUGAAAAGUUGCAAUUGAAGUGGCGAUGAAGCUUCAGCUAUGGUUUUUUUCUUUUUUUUCUUUUUCUUUUGUGUUCUCUUCUAGUUUGAAAUUCAAAAAAGUAUAGUGCAAUGAUUUGGUUAUUUGUAGGUUCUACUCCAUUUUGGUACAUGCGGUGGUCAAAUUAUAUUGGCUGCAUGUGUGUUAAGGUCCUUUCCUUAUUGAACUUGUUGAAUUGCAAAGAGACUGCAGUGUCGUGAACUUGAUUAGUCUUACCUUCUUGUAAUUUAGGAGCAAAGGAUUUUUUGUUCUAUCCUUGGGUACAAUUUAUAAAGGUCAAAAGCAACUUGAAGUGCUGCAAGGGAUAGAUGGCAAUUAUUUUGAGUUGCUUCACACUUCUUCAAUUCCUUUGUUAGUAGUUGUGGUCUGUUCAAAUGAGAAGUUGCAACAAUUGUUGUUACUCUAGUGUCACUUUUGUGCAAUUUGGCACCUACUCUUUACCAAAUAUCCUAUAGAGUGAGAAGUAGAUAUAGAUUGAAAUCUAAGGUAGAAUGAAUUAUAGUAGAUGAGGUUGAAAUUAAACAAUCAUAGAUUAGCUUCAAAUGAAGUUAGAUUAGGAUUGAACAAAGUAGGGUUAAAAUAAUUUAGAGCUUGGAUGAGUGGAUGUUUGAUGAAACUUAAUUCAAAGAUAAAAUUUUAAAUAUGAAUAAAGUAUGUAGAUGAAUUGUUAUUCAAGGAUGAAAUCAAGGAUGAAAUUUUUCAAUGGAUGAAUUUUAAUUAAAUAAAGACUGAAUUACAAUAAUAAUAAUAAUAAUAAUAAAUAUCUUAUUAUUGAGUUUUUUAAUUGCAUGAAAAUUGUCAAGUGACUAAUUAUUAGAAGUGUGAUUUGGUACUAGAGAUUUUGCUUGACUUUGUGGAUGAAUUAAGGAGUUUUAAGUGUGAAUUGUUUAAAGUUUAAAUAAGCACUAAAAUUUCUAAGAUUUUCUGUAAUAAAAUGGCUUGUUGUGAACUAUAAUAAACUUCCAACUAGUGGAGGAUUAUUUUAGCUCACACUAUGUCUCUGGAACCACGUGCUCUCAAAUUCAUGUUGUUUCGGUUCGUGAUUACAACCUAACCCUAUGGCGACUUGUGCCAUAGAAUUAGGCUUACGUGUAUAAAAUUUUCACAUUGUAUUCUGGGGAGCAGUGGAUGUCGGUUACUGUAAUGAGCAUACUAUCUUUCUAGGAGAUUGUAAAGUUUGAGUAAUUCGCUAUUUCCUCAGCAUGUGCGGAUUCGGCGAUUCCUCGGAAUUUAACACUGUCACUGAAUUUGCCGAAUGAUGCGGUACGGUAUCCACAUAUCUUCUCCACCGUAGAUGCAGAAAUUCCUUAAGGUACAGAGUGCAGAUCAGAAUUGUACGAUUAUGCUGACUUAAAUUAUCUUGUGGAAGUGGGGUGACCUUACAGACACCUCCUCACGAACUGAAUAGAUACAGACGCGUGGGCUGUGAAUUAUUUAAUGGGAGUAUGUACUAUCAAGGAGACCCUUUGGUGGCAGAUACUGUUAAAACACUCAUCUGGCAGUUGCUCCUCUCAGUCAACCACAUGAAUUCCUGCGAUGUAUGGCACAGGGAAGUGCUUAGGACAUGAGUCCAACUCGUGCUCAAUUAAAUUAGAUAAAGUCUCACAGAUGGUGGUGUAGUUGACCGAAAAGCAACUCUGAAAAUACUACGCUGGGCGUAGUUUGGACUUUCGCGAACAGCACUUGAGGUGUGUGGCUAUUCUUGGGACAGAGAUGAAACCUCCUCUCAGCUCGUUCAUUGGCAAGUCCAGGUUUGUUAUUUUCUCAUCUUGUAAUGUUGUGAUAAGUCGGAGUUUACCAUGAAAAUUAACAGUCAUUUUAGUUUCUGUUAUCCAUUGUGACCUCAAAUUAUGUGGAUGUGAAAUCCACUAGGCGAAGGAUAAUACUGAUUCUAAGCUGACAAUACACCAAGGCAGCGUCUUUGAUUCAUUUGCAUGGAGUGAAGUGGGUUUUUCUGGUGAUAUUAUCUGCUGACAUUCAGCAUAUUUCGUCACACUAACAUUACUGAUAGAUGAUACAAAACGUUGAUAAUUGUUCAUGCAUUUUCAGCCACAAAAAAUUCUAUUUCUGUAGACAUCAAGUCUAAAGAAUAAUUAGUCCUAAUAAAAUGGGUUGAGGAAAUCUUCAUGCGGUAAAGCUGUCCUCAACAUUGGUGAGCAUAUCUGAAGAAUGUCGUUGAUCUAAUGUUUGACAGUCAAGUACUUUUUAUAGUGAAUUUUAAGCUGAAAGAGCGAUUUAUCGAUUUUUUUUGAAAUGUUUGAAAUUUUUGUUUUGGACGUGAAUCUAACACUUUAUUAGGACUUUGAUGUUAUUAUCUUACCCAUGGGUGACAUUUCUUUUCUUUUCUUCACUCUAAGCAACUUAGUAUGCUGCAUUAGUGUGGAUUGGGAAGAGUGCCUGUGCUCUCAAGCGAGGAACAUUAUGAAAAACAAAAUCCGGGGCUUAGGUGAUGAAAAUUGCUCUGAGCUUUCUGCAAGGAAUGUUGGCAUUUGCCCUACAACGACGCUGCUCGGUAAAUGAGGGGCUGCGCCGUACUUACGCUAGUGGUUAUAUCCUAGUUACUUUCAUCAUCUGGUACAAGGCUUGUUUUGCUAAAUUACGAGAGACGUCCUGUGAAUGGAAGUCGAUCUAUUCCCUCCAUGCUAUUCCCUCCAUGCUUCGCUACUGUCGUUAAUCAGAAAGGUUCAAGAGUGAAAGGAUCUCAAGGAGCUGACCAGGGUUUAGUUGGUGCGAUGGUAACGAAUCUCCUACUGACUCUGAGAUAAUGCCCAAGUUUACGUUAUGGCAGAGCUACUUUAAUCGAAUGUGGUCUCAAUUCGGAGGGUAGUUGCAGUUUAAGGGGCAUUAACCCUUUACUGAACGUCUGGUCGAUCCCAGCGGUACGAAGGUGACCGACGGCUCUGCUUGACCAUCUUGUCUUCAAGAUUGCAGAGCCUGAUGUUGCUCUUGCUCUACUUGAGGGAACGUGGGAAGCUGAAGCUUGAGCAGUAGCUGCAACGUGAGGUGGAGCAGCAGCAGCAGAGGCAGUCAAACAAGCUGCAAAAGACUCUCUGUAGUCUGGCUGACAAGGGAUUGAUAGAUCUAUCUGGUUUGCCACCCACUUCAGUGAAGGUACAUAUUACUACUUUACUCAUGCUUUCGGUGUGCUUUAGAGUCAUACAAUUUGUUCAGGAACUAAAUGCUUGCUGUUGGUUAUAGGUAAUGAUUUACACUUCACGCCAUCUGCAAUGAAAUCCCAAGACAAAGAGUUAUCAUUCUUUUUGCUAAACUUGUGUGCAGUUGAACAUUGAAAUAGUUCCUAUCAAUUCCAGUUAAUCUCCAAUUUGGGGGACAUUCUUUUUUGUGAAAUGUGGUUAACAUUCGAGUGUUAUUAAAACAUCCUCUGAAUUCUU